rnacentral:siRNA from 1 species
AAAGGUUUUGAUAGGUGUAGUCGU